CCUACGGGUGGCUGCAGUGGGGAAUAUUGCACAAUGGGCGAAAGCCUGAUGCAGCAACGCCGCGUGAGCGAUGAAGGCCUUCGGGUUGUAAAGCUCUGUCUUCAAGGAAGAUAAUGACGGUACUUGUGGAGGAAGCCCCGGCUAACUACGUGCCAGCAGCCGCGGUAAUACGUAGGGGGCUAGCGUUAUCCGGAAUUACUGGGCGUAAAGGGUGCGUAGGUGGUUUCUUAAGUCAGAGGUGAAAGGGUACGGCUCAACCGUAGUAAGCCUUUGAAACUGGGAAACUUGAGUGCAGGAGAGGAGAGUGGAAUUCCUGGGGUAGCGGUGAAAUGCGUAGAUAUUAGGAAGAACACCAGUUGCGAAGGCAGCACACUGGACUGUAACUGACGCUGAGGCACGAAAGCGUGGGGAGCAAACAGGAUUAGAUACCCGGGUAGUC
rnacentral:rRNA from 1 species